UUGUGUAAAUUUCGACCAAUUGCGGGGAGACGUAAUCGCGAGGAGAGACGUCAACGGGGGUCGUAAAUCCCCGUUACGAUUAUAACAAUCGACACCACGAAUUGAUCGAUCCCCUGAUUUCCGUUGAGAUAAUAGGGGUGAUUGAGUUUGUAUAACACUGUGAUUCACAGAAUUAUAAAUUAUAUAUUUCCAACACUUAGAUUACACUGACGUAGAGAAAUAAAUAGUUAACAACUUGUCGCACGAAGAUGCGAUAGAUAUGUACGCUAGAGCAGGGCUCUUAUAAUGGAAAUUAAUGUAUUAAUGGACUUAGCACUAUAAUAUAUUUAGGAGAGAAGAUGUGUGUUCGACAACACCGAGAACCGACAAAAGAUUUGCGUGAAGUAUGCGACUCUCGCGCUAUGUGUAGACUGCCGCGUUAGGCGUUAGUUUUUAGACUGUCUGUCGCUCUUUUUCUAAUACGGAAGAAAAGUUCGGUGUGGGUGUGCCCCUGUGCCUAAAGAACGCGGAUUCGUUGUUCCCACUUUCGUUAGGAAAAGUGAGGGCAACGAACCGCGGUGUUAAUUGGUCAUGACCUGCACUACUGCUCGAAGGGAUGAGUAGGGAGUCUCCUACCAUCGCGGUGGAUAGAUGACUGUGUGCGUGAGAAAAACCUAGCUUGUUUUAUUACAGGGCUAUUCGGAUUUUCCUAAUGGGUGCAUACCCGCUUUCUCCGUGUUUUAAGUGCGACUAAUAAACCCAAGGACCUCUCUAAAAACCGACUGUGUUUCGAGAAUAUUUUUAAGCUUUAGAAAUUCUUCAAGACAAACGGAUUGAAGACACAUGGCGAAACAAUACAGGGAAGUGAAAGUUAUGGUGAGUCCUUAGGUUUAUUGAGGGUCGAAGUGACGUUACGCAGGCCGGUUGUUGUCCGGUCGCGCGGGCUGGCGUGCAGAUGUUUUAGGCGGCGUAACAAUAGGUUUCACGAAUAAUGAAUUUAAUUAACGCUAUUAACAAUGUUCCGGGGUUCAAACGAAUCCACGGUCAACCGGAUAACUCUUUACUAUGUGUAGAAUAAUUUUAAACACAAAAUACAAUUGCUGAGGCACCGGUAAAUUGCUCGAUGUAUCACUUUCCAAGGCGAUCACACGAAUGAAUAUCUGAUGAAAAUCUUUUUCGCUAUACUACUGCAUUUGUUUGUUAUAUGCUCGCUGGAAACAUCGAGAAGGUUCCAAUCGUUAUUGCUAGGCAAUUUCUGUCAAAAGUUUGUUGUAUACUCUUUGGAAACAUCGAGAAAGAUUCAAACGCCGUUACUAGGCAGUUUCUGUCUGGAGAUUGAUUCCUAAUACAACGUGUGUCCCAUUAUAUCGACAUCUCUAAAGUACAAUUCUAUGUGAUUUCUAGGGAGAACAAUACAACCGAUCCACACCUUCGUCAGGCAAAACGUUUAUCCCGUGACCGUGACUACGUUCGGCGACCAGUUGUCACCUCGAACCCACUUUCGCUUUCACAAAUAUCAAACAAUUACAAAUGACAAUUGCUUAAUUACAGUUAUGAUAAAAUCUAGGCUAAAGCAUUAGAAGGCUUCCUCAAAAUUGCAAAGGGAAGGCUCCGGUUUUCCUUUCAUCUCCGACAUAUAUAAUACAAGGAUAUAAUACAACCGAACAUUUUAAACUUAGCCUAUAGCGCGUGCGCGCACACACACGCACACACAUGACACACAUGACACACAUGCGCGCACACACAUGCGCGCACACACAUGCGCGCACACACAUGCACACACAUGCGAAUGAUUUCUCGAACGAUAAUCCAUUUAUUUAUAUUUUUCAAUAUCUGUCCUUACGAUUGCGUAUUUAUUUGUUCCACGUAUCAUAUUUAUCUAUUUGCAUAACUGU